rfam:Salmo salar isolate Sally breed double haploid chromosome ssa11, whole genome shotgun sequence.
CGCAUUCACUACUGUAAGUCGCUCUGGAUAAGAGUGUCUGCUAAAUGACUCAAA